rnacentral:lncRNA from 1 species
ACUUUCAUAGUGUAUUUACCAUUCUUUUCUUUUCUUUUCUUUUUUAUUUUAUAUAGGCAAAUAGAUCAACAUUGAAAAGCACAUCACAGAAAAAGAUUGGGCACACACACAAACACGGGGCAGUUCUAUUUUCAUAGUUAUUCAGGUAUUUUCAAUAUUCAUGGUUGACAGGCCAAGGAGAGAAUUUUGUGGCUAUUACCAUUUUAAAAAACAAAAAUAAAAAUAAAUAAAUAAAUAAGAUGGCAUCAUGCACAUCAAUCCUCACACCAUUUGAAUCCAAAACUAAAGAACUUGUUUGGCAACAUUUGUGAAAACAGUUCUCAAAAAACAAUUUUUGUGAACAGUUCUUGAUUAUUUUCAAGAACAAAAUUCUAUUUGGGUACUCCAAUAUGAAAAACAGUUUUCCCAACUUAUUCUCCAUGAGAGUAGUAUGCAUUUAUGUAUAAUGCAAAAGUUCCUAAAGUAUUCUCAAUAGUUUCAAGUGUUACUAAGAAUACUCUAUAAAUAACAGCUGAAAACACCUCAAAUUUGUUCUAAAAAACAGUCAAUUUUCACAACAAAUUCUCAAAAAAAAAUAUUUCUAUCAAAAAAAUUGUCAAACAUGUUUUCCAAGUUAGAACAUGGUUUUUUGCUAUAAAGAACAAAAAAACUGUUUUUAAGAACAGUUUCCAACAAACCCUAAGGAUUCAACUCUCUAAGUAUCAAUAUCACCAAUAUCAAUGCAAAUUAAUAACAGCAUAUUCCAUUUUUUUCAAAUUAUUAAAGAUGUUAACAAGUAUUAGUCUUAGCAUCAAACUAUUCCAGCAAGGUGUGAAUUAAAAUGCUCAUUCUAAAGUCAGUUUCUUUAUUUAGAAAGUUGUGUAGGUGAAGAUUCUUAUUGUCUGCAAUUUAUGAGAAGAGGUAGUAUCCUUGUGUUGUCUGUGUUGCUUGUGCAAACAAAAGGACAAAUUGGCUAACCCAUACUCUUACUCAUUGUGAUUGUGCACAUAGCUUAUGAUCUCCAUUGUUUGCCAUCUUUGGAGUUGCUUGGGUUUGGCCUUUCUUAGUCAAGAACAUGCUCAUUACCGGCAUAAUAAGUUCAUGGGCAAGAGGAGGAUGGAGAGAAUGCCCCUUUGUGCUUAUUCUUGCCUCUAAACAGAGCACAUCAAAGAAAUUUUGGAGUGUCGGGAUCAGGUUCUGAAACAUUAUUUCCCUGAAUUCCUAUUUCUUUGCUCAAGGAAUUCCUAAGGUGUUAGGAAGCUGUCUUUCUUAGACAUUGUUUAUGAAAUGGGGAUGGUUUAAAGCCUUCUUAGCAACCAUAGUUCCAUUUUAUUCUUUCCUUUUGUUUCUUAGUGUUCAUUGCUUGCUUUUCAACUACCCAAGUUGUCCUAGUUCAACCCAAGUUGCAUGCCUACCUCACAUGGUUUCAGUCCCCUUGUACUGUUUCUCUUCCUCUGAUAAUAUUCUUUUUCUUAUUAAAAAGCAUCAAAAAGGAUGAGGGAAGGAGGAAUAGGCAAUGAACCUAAUGGCGGAAAGCCUUUUAAAGACUAUUCAAGGAAGAUGGAAGACCUAAGUAAACUUUAAGUAUAAUUAAUAUUAAUUAGAAUUGAAUUAGGAUUACUAUUUGUUGGAGUCAAAUUAGGAUUAGCUAAUUAAAUUAUAAUAUAAUUAGAAUUUGAGUCAUAAUAGGUUAUUAGAGUCCUAGUAGACUUUGGAUGUUAUAAUUAGGAUUAGAUUCAUAAUAGGUUAUUAGAAUCCUAAUAGACCUUGGAUUGCUUAGAGAAGCCUAUAAAUGGGCUGAUUGAUGUAAAUCAAAGAAAUGAAUUGAUUGAUAUUAAUAAUAUUAUGUUUUUCUUCAUUGCAAGUGUUGCAAUCCUCAAUGGUGAGAUUCCAUUGAUUUUCUUCUAAGUGAGACUCCUAGAAGGUCUUAGUGAGACUCUAAGGUUCUCAUUUUUUCUUCAUCGUUUCUUCUCUCUCUAUUUUUUUUUUUUUUUUUUUUUCUACCAUAAACUUUAUUCCUUAUUCCUCUCCUUAUACUCUAAAAUCAAAACCCUAGCCCACCUACUUUGAGUGUAGGCAACCAUCUUAGGGUUGUCCUACAUCAAUUCCUUCUCCGAUGUUAUCACUCCUCUCUUAGCCAAGAAACCCACUUCCAUAUCAACAACAUUAAACAUCUAAGAAACUAUGCACUAAGGAUUAAUAAAAGUCCUUUACAUCCUUCAAACUGUAGGCAUAUCUCCAAGAUCCACAUGCUCUACUGCAAACCCACCUGAAAAUGGUGGAAAAAUUCUUAUUUAACAAUGAUUUCUAUAAUGGUAAUUUUGGACAAAUUGGAGGCAUUCCUGAAGGCCUUAAAGAAGAGCUAUAAUUUCCACAUCUAAGAAGUCCAACCAAUACAAUUUUAAAUAGAAAGUCAACUCAUUGAAGCUCAAGUUAUCUUAAGCAGCUAGAGGGGAAUCCACUUAAAGCAUAUUCAAUAGUGAAAGCACAAAGCCUGUUUAUUACCUCUAAUCCCAAAAAAAAUUUAAAAAAAAAAAAAAAAAAAGCCAAAGAGUAUAGAGCCAAUCAAAGCCCUAGUCAAUGCUAGGAUGGCAAUUCUAUCCCACAUAUGAUUUUUUUUCUUUUUGAUAUAUUUUUUCUUUUUUUAAUUUUAUGAUAGGCAAAGAUCAAUUAUAUCAACAUUGCCUAACAAAAGGGUAUACAAAGGCAUAUACUGUAAAUACAAGGAUGCUAAAAGCCAAAAUGAAUCUCUAGCUUUGCUUAGAUUUAACCAGUUAACAAAGUCCAUCAUGGAGAAACAACUAUCUCCUGUGUACACUCUAACCCACUCCAAAAUGUUAUAUAUAAUUAUUUGAUUGUUUGAUCCACUUUUUCAAAAUUAUCAAAUGCUCUCAUAUUUCUCUCCCUCCAUAUGAUUUAAAAUAAGCACAAAGAAGCAACUCUCCAAGUUUUCUUCUUCGUUCCAAAAAAGGAUCCAUGUCAAUUGAGGAAUGUAUCACCCAAUCUAUUCCAAAUAAAGCAUGAAUCAGUUGUAAUAGGAUGACUACGUUCUAACAGUGAAGAAGGAUGUGAUCAACAGUUUGUUCUUCUCCUUUGCAAAGAUAGCAUUUGUUCAAAAUCCUCUAACCCCUCCUUUUGAGUUGAUCCAAAGUCAAUAUCCUUCGUUGAAUAGUUUCUCAGGUGACAGUAUCCAAUAAUUCCAAUCAAUACUAGAAGGGAAUGUCUCCAUUCUUAAAUUUGAUACAGAGGAUAAAGAAAUUUAACUAAAAAAAAUGUCUUUCCUUGAAUUCAACCAAACCAUUUUAUCAUUUAUAUCCCUAUAAAUUGUUUGUGCUAACAGCUUUUAAGAAAGGCCUUCAUGCCAUCUAUCUCCCAGUAAUGAAUCUAUCUUACAAACCUCGAGUUCUAAUAAUCUCCCAUGCCAUCCUGCUCCCAUACAUCAACUAACCAUGCAUCUUUACCCGUGGCUAAUAAGAAUAAUUCUGAAAAAACUUCGUCUAGGAACAAGUCACCAGCCCACCUAUCCUUGCAUAAUUUCACAUUCCACCCACCACCUACAUUAAAACUAGUUUGAUUGUUAAAGGUCUCCCACCAGCUUACACACCCACCCCAUACCCUUCCCCCACUUCUUGAGAGCACCACCUCCCCAUACUUCCCUACCAUAGUUUUAAAAGGCUCAAGGCGCACCAAGGCACAAAGUAGUCCUGGAGCCUGAGGCGCAGGUUUUAGUGAAGUGAGGCACACCCUAAUUUACAUAUAUUUUUCCUCCUCUUCUUCGCCUUCUUCACUUCUCCAUUGCACAGCUGAGGCUAGGGCAAAAUUUGGGAGAGUUGUCGGGUUGAAAGCAACCAGAAAAGGGGGCUGGAAGGGAAAACAGGGCCAAAACAUCAUUGUUUUGGCCUGUUUUUUAUUUUAAAGGAACAGGCUCCAAAACAGCAUUGUUUUGGCUUGCUCUUUUUAAAAUAAAAAGGGCUAAAACGAAAUCAUUUUGACCCAUUUUUAAAAAGGUCUAAAACGACGUCGUUUUGGUCCCAAAAAAUCAAAAAAAAAAAAAAAUUAAGGUUUCUCUCUGCCCUUUGCAACCUGACACCGGAGAAGAAGAAAAAAAAAAAAAAAAAAAGGAGAAGGAGAAGGUAGGGGAUCAAGGCACACCUGUGGACCGCAUCACGCCUUGCACGCCUAAGCGGCGCCUUCAUGAAGGGGUGUCGCCUACCUUCAGGCAAGGCGUCGAAGGAUGGCGUCAUGCCGCCUGGAGCCUAGGCACGCCUUUCACAACUAUGUUCCCUACAAAUAACAAUCACCUACUUCUAAAGAGAUUGUCUUUCCAUAGCGAACCUUCAACACCAUUUGUCCAAAAGAGCUUGUUAAUGAUGGAUAGAUUUCUAACACCCAACACUAUUUUCUUUCUCAUGCAAACCAUCAACCAAUUCACCAAAUGUGGUUUUCUCACGAUAAACUCUCCCACCAAAAGAGAUCACUUUGGAUCCUUUUUAGCUUUAACCUCACCAUUUUUAAGAUGACAAAUAAAGACAUGAAGUAAAUUCAAGUGUUGGACAGAGUAUUCUUUAUUAGAGCUAUUCUUCCUCUUUUUGAUAGGGUAUUGCUUCUUCCACAUAGAUAGUUGCUUCUAAAAUUUUUCGUCUAUCACAUCCCAAACCCAUGACACACUGAAUGGACCUACCUACAUUGUAGCACCCUAGGUAGUUCCUCCAAGUUAGCAACUAUCCUAACAAGGAUCAACUCACCUUUUUUCAGAUUCAUUUUUAACUUAAGAUUGCCCUAAAUUACGUGAACGUUUAGUUCAAAUGUUCCAUAUGCUCCUUAGUAGCAUCGUAGAGAAUAAGAGUGUCAUUAGCAAAUAACAUAUGGGAUACUUUCAAUCCCUCAUCUCCUCUUCCACUAACUAAGAACCCUUCUAUGAAACCCCCUUCCUUAACUUUUUUCAGAAUGUGAGAGAGGGACUCCAUGGCCAUGAUAAAGCAAUAUGGGAACAAAGUGUCACUGUGUCUCAAGCCUCUUAAACUUAGGAAAAAGCAUGUUAGAGUCUCAUUAACCAAUAUGGACAAGUGAGUCAUAGAGUUACACCACUUAAUCCAUCUCAUCCAUCUAGGACCAAUUCUUUUUUUUUCCAAGAUCACUAACAAAAAGCCCUAAGUUGGCAUGAUCAUAUGCCUUCUAAAUGUCUAAUUUACAUGUGACCCCAUUGACGGUGUUUUUCAACCUUAAGUUGAUGACUUCAUUAGUUAUGGGGACCACAUCCAAAAUUUGUCUCCCCUCCACAAACGCAUACUAAAAGUCCAAAAUCAUUUUUUUCACCACCGCCAAAUUGACUGGCCGAAAUCUUACAAAUCUUCUGCACCCCACUUUGUUUAGACAAAGACUAUCAAAAUGGCCUCUUAGUUCAUAGAAAUUUGCAAAAGAAGAAAGGGAAAAACACAAACAAACAAAACUUAUCAACUCACCUCACUUUUCACAAAAUCCCAACAAAACUACCAAGGUUAUGGAGAAGUUUUUCAGCCUAGGGGCUUUAUCCCCACAUAAAUUGAAAAAGGCUAAUAAAACCUUCUCCUCAAAACAGUGUCUCCAAGGAUCCUAAUUCUCUCUACACAAAGUUUCCAAACCCUUCCACCAGGGCUCAUAAGAUCCAACUCUAAAGAAUGGAUAAAGGGCUCUCUAGUUACAAAAGAGGCCCACAUCUGCUACAAAUCAUCCACUGGGCUAGCUCCAUUUAAAAUAUUAAGGCCACUAUUUUUUGGCUUAAUGGCUCUCACUACCCAGACUUGCACAAAGCCUACCCUAUUAUCUUAGGCCUUAAUUGGCAAAAUAAGGCCUUUUUGGCCUUCUUCACUUUUCUCGACCACCUCCUCAUUCUUAAGCCCAAUACAACAGCAUUUUGUCUUGCCACUCCAUACUCAACCUUUUUGCUUUUGUCCUAUUACACAUGAAUCGAACCCUCAACCACCCCCAUUUCUCAUCCCAUCCCAACCCAUUACUACUUGAGCUAGGCUUCAACGGCACAUCAUUGACUACUUUCCCCACAAAUGUAGAAUAGAAAGCUUUCUUAGAUCUCCUAGAUUAAAACAAGUUUUUCAAGUCCAUUUAGCAAUAGACUAGCUCGUCUGACUAUUUUCCUCACAAAGGACACAAAUACAAAAUAGAAAGCAUUCUUUCUUGGGUCUCCUAGGAAACAAGUUUUUCAAUUCCAUAUAGCAAUGGAUUAGAUGGUUUCAAAUGCUCCUCAUUCAUAUCACUACAGUUUUUUUUUUUUUUUUUUUUUAAUACAUACGGACAACUUAUUUUUUGUAAGAAGUUUCUUAAGUUGUGUUUGGUUCCUUCUAUUGGGCAUUCACCAACGUAGCUUUUAUUCUUAGAUAGUCACUAAGGUAUGUUUCAUUGGUGACCAUUGCCAUAACAAAGAUUUCAAAAAAUAUGAAGUACACAAGAUAUGCAAACAGGUACCUAUUCAACAAGAAUAACCAAACAAACUCAAUCUAACCAGGAGCUUGGUUUGAGCAAACCUCAAACCACAGAUAGGGUAGGGGUAGGGCUGUCAGCAGCCUAUGCAACUCCUAGUGAUGGGCUUAGACUGGCCUCUAAACCAUCCAUCCUGUUUAAGGAAUUGCUCUAAGCAGAGCACCACAAACACAAUAAGCGGGAAAGGUUUGUUUAAGCUACAUCCAAAAUUGCACUUGGUGAUGUGAUUAAAUUCACUAAUGUUAUAUAAGUCAAUCAAAAGACAACUUAUAUAAGGUAAACCAAAUGUGAAAGCCCCCAUAAGAAAGCAAACCUUGUAUCUCCGGUAGCGUGCCUCAUUAUUUCCCAGAAAUCGCUUAACAAAUGAAUCAGUCAGAAAACCAGCAAGACCAUCCAACAACCACUCUGCCAAUAAGCAAUAAGCAAUAAGCAACCAUAUGAGAAGCCACUGUCUCUUCAAUACAGAUGAAACUAAUGAUCAACAAUAAUUCAAAACCUAAUCAAGCAAUACCAUGAAUAUUUCUACAUGCUUACCAUCAUUUGGUGCCUCAGGACUGAUAAAUACUCCAAACCAUUGCCUUGCAAGGGCAUAAGCAAGUUUAAUCCUCGUAUCUAUUGUCUGCUAAAACAUAAAUAAACCCAUCAGUGUUAUUACCAGAAAAGCAAGGAGAAAAUGAUAAUAAAUUUCUAAGACAGCUGAUAUUAGUAAUAAAACAUCAAUUGAUAAGAAGGCAUGCAUUAUCAUGCACUUCAUGCAUGAUCCAGAUUGAUAGAUGAGUACAUCAUAUGGCAUAAUGCUUAUUAAAAAAAUAUAGGACAAUAACAGCUACUCUGAAUUUCACAGGCUAAGCAUAUAAAACAUUUUGCACCACAUAAACACAUUUCAGGGAGACCCAAAAGGAAAAACAAAAUUUCAAAUGUAUUCAGACAGAUGAUGGAGGCCUGCACACUCAAUUUUACUUCCACAGCCUAUAUGUAGAAUCUAAUCCAAAAAAAUGGGGGUUGUGCUGUUUAGAGUUGAGAAUAUGCAGCUUAAUGCCUAGAAUUUGACUCCAAGAAUAAAAGAUCAUGCUCCUGCAUCAGGAGUUAAGGGUCCAGUGGAAGGAUUUUCGUAUAUGGGUUAGGAAUGUCAUAGAUUAGGAAAACUCAAGGUCAUUAAGGGAAACUUAAGAGAUUGAAAAUAGAAGGCUUUCCAUAAGUUUUAGCCACCCUCUGGCUGAUUUGGCUUGAAAGGAAUACCAGGAUCUUGAAAGAUAGGAGGCCACAAGUUGACGUCUUGUAGGUAAUAUCUAUUUACUUCUCUUUGGGUGGCUAUCACCAAGGAGUUACCUGGUUACUCUCAUUAGUAUUACUUUGUUGGAUGGAAGAUCAAUUUGUCUCUUGGGAUAGUCAUCGACAUCAUAAUUCAUGAGUGAGUGAGCUCCCCUAUACAUUGCCUUGAACUCAAUUUUGAUUAGUGCUUUUGGUUAACCAAGGCAGAUGGGUACUAGGAGGCCUCUUCAGAUAACCAUCAAAACCUGCUAGGUUGGGUCUGGAAUAAAGGUGGACAUUUCAACCUUACAAAAAGACAUGAUAGAUGCAACCACGUUUAUUGUUGCUAACUGUUUGAUGGAGAAGGAUUCAAUGAACACCAUGUCACAAGAAAGGAUAGCUCCAUCAAGAUAUAAUGUGAUUGCAUUGUAUUGUGGCUCUUUCUAUCUUUGCAUUAACUAUUGGACGGCUAGUCAUGAAGUUGAUAACUGGACAAAAAGGGAGCCUACUCAAUCAAGCUUUUUUUGGAGACCUUCUGCCCUCUAGAGUUUCUUUCUACUCACCUUUGCUUAUGUUUGCAAAAUUUAGAGAGGCCUUUUAUGUUGGGAGCCUAUUCUUAUCUUUCAUUUAUUCCUUUCAAAGGAAAAAAAAAAAUAGUAAUCACCGUGAAAAUAAAGCCUUGGUGCACAAUCCUGAGGGUGAACCAAAUCCACAAGGAAGAACAAGAAACUUGAGUUUGAGGCUAUUUUGGAACAAGAGGAAUUGACCCUACGGUGAACAUCUAAAGUAAAAUGGAUUAAGAAAGAGAAUAUAAUUGUAGACUUCUACAUAGGAUUGCCAAUUAGAAACAAAAGAAAAAUAUUCUUACAUCUCUCCUCAUUGAAAAAGGAGAGAAUAAAUUUUUGUUUUACAUAUCAUAAAUAAACAAUUCUUUUCUUUGAAUUGUAAUGGGAUAUAAAGAACAAACUACUCUUCAUAAAAUCAAAACCUGACCAAGAACUAGAAAAACUAGACAAGGUAGACUCAGAGAAGAAAUGUGAUCAUGCGGAUUAGGACUUCCUUGACAAUAUCAUAGAGAAAAGGGCAUAGGUACAGGUGGUGUAUGCCAAUGAGAGCAUGCAUUUUGUCGAUCAAAGCAAACAAUAACUAUACAAUUGGGUGUGGGUUGUUACAAAAUGAUAUCAAAGUCGAUCUCUAACCCCAGUAUAGGGGUUUGUUUGACCCCAUAGGGUGUUUGUUUGUUUGACCUUGCAAUCUCGCGAGACACAACAAAAACAUUGUGUCUACAUGAGAGGGUGUUUUUUAUGUCCCACAUCAGAUAGGGGAAAAAGUUUCUAGCACUACAUAUGUGUGGACUCCUCUUAACCAUGUAGAUGCGUUUUAAAGUCAUGAGAGCCCCUUUGGGCUCAAAGUGAACAAUAUCUAUUGUGGAGAAAGUUCCUAACGCUACAUAUGUAUGGACUCUUUUUAACCAUGUAGACGCAUUUUAAAACCAUGAGAGCCCCUUUGGGCUUAAAAAGAACAAUAUCUACAUGGUUGGGUGUGGGUCAUUAAUCUAUACAAUUUUUUUUUUAUUUUUUUUAUUUUAUAACCAAUGAACCUUUCAUAGCCAAACCCUUAGGACUCUCCAUGGGGACCCAAACCUCGGGGUGUUGACCGCCCCCCAACAACCAACACCAGGUAAAUUCAGGAUAUCAUCAGUGGCAAGAUUCAAACCCAGGACCAUAUGCCACUUACUAGGACCACACUCCCCAAUAUUUGCCCUGACCAACUAGGCUACCCUAAUGAGUCUACACAAUUUUGAUUAAUAUGAAAGCUAGAUGAUGGACUGGGGCUUCUAAGGGUCUUAGGAAAUGGGUUGACCUUCUCUCUUUUCUCUUUAUGAUAGUGGUACAUGUCCUAAGUAGGAUUACUAAUAGAGCUCAAAUUUAAUUUUGUGAUAGGAUUUAAACUCUUAAAAGAGAGGAUUUAUAUUUUGCACCUUUGAUUUGCAAAAGAUAAUAUUUUUCUCUCCUUGAAGAUGAAAUUUUUCUAACUAAACAUAUAUCGGAAGAUUUGGGAUGAUUUCUAACCUUAAACUGUUAACUCCAUCUUGUACCCUUUCAUGAUCAAGUACUACAUCCUCAUAACUUCAAUCUUGACAAAAUACACCAACUCAAAAAGGAUUAGAUUUUUUUUUUUAAUCAGAAACAAAUGCAUUAUUAAAAUGGAUUAAAAGUACAAGUGAAGGAUGAAAAAUCUUCCCAAAUUUACAAAAUCCAAUCAAAAUUAGAGGUAGAGAAACCUUCUCCAAUAUACAUCUAAAGGGUACCACAAGAAACAAAACAAAGAAAAGGCUUAGAUAUCCUUAGACCCUGCCUAUCUUAUCACAAAAUGCCAUAUUGCUCACUAUUGCCAGCUUUCAACCUGGGUUUCAGGGUUCACCAAUUUUCAAUGAAAGGUAAUUUAAGAAAGCUCUUUUCACUUGCUUCUUCCUGCCUCAAAUCCUCCUACCCAGCCUCUCCCUCUCUUCUUCAUCCCUGCAAAGAUCUUGACUGACUGUUUUAAUUCCUUUUACCUGUUGGAAAAUCUCCAACUGCAAGAGCCCAGGAUUCUCCUUUUUUUUUAUCAGAAACAAUAUACAUAUUGAUAAUAAUAAAGUUGAAGAGAAGGAUAAGAGGUCCUUCCCACAAGGUACAAAACCUGAUCAAAGUAAGAGUAUACCCUCCACUGUACAAGGAGAAAUACUGAUAAAAGCAUGUACAAAAUCUCUCAAAAAUCAAAACCAAACUCUCUCAAAAGUUAUCUACCCCUUUCUAAUUACAAACCGAAAGCCAACUAAAUAGAAUAACCUAAAGGGGAAUUCCUCUAAAAGUGAGUAGAAAUGAAUAAGAUCUCAUAACAUCCCUUCCGUUCUACACUUUUCCUCAAAAAUCCUAGCAUUACUCUCUUACCACACAACCUAUAAUACAGUGAAACAUGCAACAUGCCAAAGCAUCUUGCCUCUAAUUGAAUUCCCCAAGCCUCUAAACGAAAUAAUCAUCAUAUCUCCAAUACUCCUUGGUGGAACCCAAUCCAAACUAGCUACACUGAAGAGCUUAUGCCAAAGCCCCAACAUUAUUGGGCAAUGUUGGGGAUGAUCAAUUGAUUUUCCACUCUCUUUGCAUAAAAUGCACCAAUGAGGACUAAGAGAUUUGUAAGGUCUUCUCACUUGUAGCAUAUCAUUGGUAUUAACCUUCUUAUGCACCACUAACCACACAAAGGCCUUGACCUUUGAUAGGACUUUUGAUUUCCAAACAAAAUUAGUCGAAAGGAACAGAAUUGGAUUAGAGGGCUUGGACAAGAUCAUGAAAAAAGAUUUUACUGAAAAUAAUCCAGCGGAGGAUAAGGACCAAACUCUUGAGUCUAUGGUAGAAAAAGCCAGUGGAGAUUUUACUUUUCUUGCCCAAGAUUCUUCUUUUUGGAUCAAAUGAACUUUGUAACACUGUCCUCAAACAUCAAUAACAGGGCAUACCUUGCCUAAACUUUACCUUCUCAACUCCAUCCAGUGUAGGAAAUGGCAAUAUAUCAUCUCUCUCACAAACUGUUCAAUCUCAACUUCUAAUUUAUAAAUAAUAAUAAUAAUUAAAAGAAGAAGAAUAUAAUGAUGAUGAUGAUGAAAACUGAACACAACAAGGGACCACUGUUAACUGUAUCCAAUCUAUUUGACACUAUUGAGCAGGCCAUAAUAAUGUAUUGAACGCAUUUAAGAAUAUUAAACGUUGUUAGAACAUAAAAAAUAUUAAUAAUAGGAACCCACUGGCUUGGGAAUGCAAAAGAGAGAGUAGAUAGCAAUCAGUACAAAGAAACCACAUCUUUGAAGAAAUAAAUAAAUAGUCAUAAUGACCAUAAGUAUAUCAUUGAAUAAUCAUCACAUAACUGACCAACUAAAUUAGUUGAGUAAAUAAACAAACCUGAUCAAUAACCUUCUCAUCAAAUAGAAUUUGAGAACUAAAGAUGCUCAUGGAGGCUCCCAAUGUCAAUGAGGAUAUUGCCAUUUCAGGAGCAAUAAAGACUUGCUUGUAUGAUCCAAAUGGAAAUGAUGCAGAAAGAUAAUCCUCAUAAUGGCUGUGAAAGUAAAACAUGGAUAUUAAAGGAUAGAACCAUGCAGGUAGCAUGAAGAGAUAGAAUUUAAAAUCAAAUUCACACAAGAAAUACAAAAGUCUCAAAUGAAAGUAUAUGAAAAAAUACAAACCUAAAUGCACUAUGGAAGAAACCCACAGUAUUCCAAAGCUUGGGUAAAUUAGCUGGCAAACACAGGUAUGAAAGAAGACCACUAUGGCGGUCAGGAAGUACUUCAAAGGGUGCAACUGCCAAUUGUAUCCACCUUGCAGUAACUGGAACAUUUAACUUAUAGACAUAUGUUUUUCUAGGAGGGUCAUCUUUGCUUAACACCUGUAAAAGAAGAACAAUUGAGUGAUAAAGGUUAGAACAUCAACAAAUACAAAGCCACUAAUCAGUAGAAGAAUACAGCAUUCCACAUGCAAUUCUCAAUAUAUACAAAAAUUUGUUACCCCUUGUAAAUGCAUUUUUUGCUCGGCUCCAUAUUAAUACACAUGUUCUCGUGUGAUAUAAAAGAUUAAGGCACAAAAAGUUCUAUGAGUCUGAGAUGAGAUGACCUCUAUCUUUGUAAUUAUUUGUCUCAGUCACGAAAAGCUCUCAGUUUCAUUUAAAGAAUAGAACAAUGUGGAUUCAUCAGUCACUUUAAGGUGGGGCAUAAGGGAGGAGAACUUUUUGUGACACCAAUUAAGAGCAGCUAAGGUAUCUUAGCUGGGCCCUUGUAUGCAUGUGAAGUCAUACAUGCGCAUGGAAAAUAUGCAUACAUGAGCAUGGUAAAUAUGAUACAUGAGCAUACUAAAUAUACAUAUAUGCACAUAGCAACGUCAAUGGGCAUUUGCCGAUUUUCAAAAAUUCCAUUAACUAACAAAUUAUGAUAAAGAAGAAGGUUGAGUAAGCGAUUGAACUCAAGAAAAAAAUUCACUUGUACCCUUGAUGAUAGACCAUAAACCUUGAGGAAGACCCUGGAAGUGUGGUGAGCGAGGCCCGCAAGCAUAAGGAUUGAUUUAACCAAGAAAGGAAGUAGAUUAGUAUUUAUUAUUAUUAAUUUAUUAUUAUCGAUGUAUCGUGUGUCAUAAUUCUUUUCCUCAAUGGGAGAGAGAGAGCGAGAUCGCGAUGGCGAGGGGGGUGAAGAUAGUGAGGUGCCUCGAAGAAGAAGGAAGGAGAGCAGCUUCGUAGUGGAGUCCAAGGUGUUCGAGCUCACGUUAGUAGAAAGAAGAGGAAAAUCCCAAAUCUACAUCGUGGAGAGAAAGAGGGGGGUCUCGUCUUGGGUUCGAGUGGGAGCGGAGAGUUUAGGGUUUCUCUUGGAAGGUUUAAAUCACUGCAUAAAGAACGAGAAAGAAGGAAGUUGGGAAAGGGAAUGGAAGGAAAAGGGGAGAUCUUACUCCCUGUUGCGAAGUGCGACUAAAGCGGGGUGUUUUCUCCGGCUAGGGGUAGUCGAUUCGGAGCGAAAGCAAUACAACAUUUACAUUCCAAAAGGUAGAGGAGAAAAAGAGGGAUGGGUUUCUAUGGCGGAAAAUCUACAACUAAUGGGAGGAUCAAUCGGUAGAAAGGACAACAUACAAGAAGAAAAGGUUGUUGGGAAACUUGCUUUGGAGAGAACGUACGCGGAAGUGGUGAAGAGGCCGAGAUGUAGGGAUAAAAAUUCAGUCAAAGUGGAGGUACGAAGGGAGGAAAUCCACAGAAAUUUGCAGAAAUUGGAACAUUGCAUCGUUGGGAGUUGGAACCCUAGAUCAGAUGGAGGAGAGGAUUUGAAGAAAUUGGGGAGAUUAUUGGUGAAUUCUUAGGGGAUGAAAGGAAAAUUAGGGUUGGCAAGACUGGAGAAGAGUAGGAUUUUGUUGGAAUUUGAAUUCUUGGAUGAAGCCAAACGCACUCUCUUUUCAGGGGAGCGAAUGAUGGGAGGGCUUCAUUUGAGACUUGAGAAAUGGCGCCCUAGGAGCGGCUGUCGGGAUGAGGAGGAAUUAAGAAACGAAGCCUGGGUCAAAAUUGUUGGGCUACCAGUCUCGAUGUGGGACCCGACCAUUUUGAGAAGGGUGAGGGAUGAGUGUGGUGGCUUCAUUGCCAUCGACCCUCAGACGGAGAAGUUGGAGGAGCUCCAAUGGGCUCGGAUCUUGGUAAAGACGAACGGAGAAUUUAUGCCGAGCAUACUGGAGAUCGGUGUUGAGGAGGAUGUUUACUCCCUUAUUCUAAGGUGGGAGCUUAGACCGUCUUUGAGGAAGGCCAGGGUAGACAGUUGUGAAACGAUCAGUCGAAAAAGUGGGGAGGUUAGGGGUGACGAAUUCUCACGCGCUGGCUCGCGCGUGGAGGAAGAUUCUGAUUUCGAACGGCCCGAGGCACUGUAUUUGUCAGCUGAGGGGAUGGGCGUGCAGGAGAGGGGUUUGGGUCGGGAGGUGAUCGCAGACCGGGCCCAAGGAUCAGCAACCAUGGGCUCAUUGAAAAGGGCCUGUGGGCUGUGUUUGCAAAGUCCAUCAAUGGACCUAAAGUUAAAAGGAGUGGUGGCUGAAGUUGCCGGGCCAAAGGCUGGACCAUCCAAGAAAUGGGCUAUUGAUGAGGCUGGCCCAAUGCCUGAUGGACCAACUAAUCUGGAUGGGGCUAGACCAGACAAGCCCACGACCCAAGGCACAGUCAAAGGCCCCUAGGAGAAGGCCUGUCUUCUGGAAUGUAUAAUAGCCAGAAGCGGGAGGUUCUCAGAGGCAGAACAGUUAGUUUCCUAGGAGACAGAAGGCCUAAGGAAGCAAAAAGCGAAAGCUAUUCUCUCAGCAACAGACAAGGCUCUGGUAGAGGAAGCCAUGAGGUAUGGUUUUGUUUUAAAAACAAGGGAAAAAAUGGUCUAUGGGUCACCUCAUCUUAUUUCUUAUUCUUUUGAUCGGGCUCCGGAGGGAGAGUAUUACGAUCGCUCUGGGGUCUUAGGGGAGGUAACUGGGAUCAAUGAUGAAAAUAUCGGUAAUCACGGAUAUAUCGGUACUUCGAUUUUACAGAUAUAUCGGAUAUAUCAGAGAUAUAUCGGCGGAUAUUUUGGAAACAAAUAUCGAUUAACCUAAAAUUGAUCAAAAUUUAUAAAAAUAUAAGAAAAACUUCAUAAAAAUGUAAUUAAAAGUAUAAUGAUAUUUUUAAAUUAUUUUAUUAAAUGAUUUUAUAUAUGUAUAAUAUGAUUUAUCAUAUUUGAUAAUAAUAUUGUAUGUGCUAAUAAAAAAACUAUAAAUUUCAUAAGUAUAUAUUUAUUAUUAAAUUAUAUCAAAUAUUAUUCAUAAUAAUAUUUGUGAUAUUUUAUUAUAAUAUGUCUAAUUUUAAAAUAUAUUUAAUAUUAAAAUUAUAAUUUAUUUUAUUUAAUUGUAUUAAAUGAUAUAAAAUAAAUGAUAGUAUAUGUAUAAUUUUUAAUACUUAAUUAACAUAUUAAUGAUAUUAAAAACACUAUAAAGAAAAUUAUCACGAUAAUUUUUAUAUUUUUGGUAUUCAAAUAGAUGAAAAAAAUUUAUUUAAUUAUAAAAUAAUUAUAAUUAAUUUGUUCUUUAAAACAUUUUUUUAAAAUUAUGUUUAUAUGAUGAAUUUGACUUUAUAUAUAUCAAGGAGCAAAGUUGCCCCAGCGGUUGGUUCAUUGCCAACCAAACCUUUUGGCUGGGGUUCGAGCCCCCACGACGGAAAUCUUGAGGCAUUUUUAAAAGUUUGACCGCACAGACCGCAUUGACCCUCAUUUGACCGCCCAAAUUAUCGCAAUAUAUUGAAGAUAAAAUGAUAAAAUGCUAAUAAAUCCCGAGAAAUAGGUGAAAUUCAUGAUAAAUUGGUAAAAUAUCGUGAAACCGAUAUUUCUCUUCCAUAUAUCGUGUCGAGAUGCUCUGAUACUCGAUAUUUUCCUCCCUGAUCGGGAUUGAGAAUCCAUUGGGAUUGUUAACUGAAGUUGGGCCCGGAGAGAAUGGCAAUGGCUGCUGGGACUUGGUAGAAAUCACUAGUGUCAGUAACAAGGUUAGGGGUGUGAAAUGGGACUCAGAUAUAUCCGAGCCUCAAGAUAUCAGGAGCGAGAAAGAGGACAGAUGGGAGGAAAGUAGUUUGGCGAAAUUCAGUCACUUCUUGGGUUUUUCGACAGAGGGUCUAGAAAAGGAAAUUCUGAGCUUUUUGAUCAAAAUAAGAAAGAAACGGGAAAGGAUUCAUAGCAAAGAGUUGUUGGAGAAGUCAAAGUUCGAAAGGGAGUUAAAGAGGUUGGAGUGUUCAGUUAAUUAUGAGAAGGUGAAUAAGCAGAAAGGCCCAUCACAGGGCAAAGGGUGUCAAAUUGCAAUAGAUCAAUGAAGCCAAAGUUGUUAAGUUGGAAUGUGAGGGGAGCAAAUGACAGUUUCAAAAGGAAAAUCAUUAAGACUUUCAUAAGGAAUCAAAAGGUUGAUUUACUGUGUAUUCAGGAGACAAAAAUCCAACCAAUGUCGGAGGGUGUGGUGAGAAGCUUAGGUUCAGGGAGAUUCUUAGAUUGGAGGGCUUUGGAUGCGGAUGGGGUAGCGAGAGGCCUAUUGCUUUGUUGGGAUAAAAGGUCGUUGGAAAUAUUGGAUUGGGAGGAGGGUCAAUUCUCUCUAUCUUGCAGAUUCAGGAAUGUGGAAGAUGGGGUUGUUUGGGUGUUCACGAGAGUCUAUGGUCCUUUCACCAAAGAGGAAAUGGAAUGCUUGUGGGAAGAGUUUGGGGCCAUUAGAGGAAUUUGGGAAGAUCCUUGGUGCUUAGGGGGUGAUUUUAAUAUUACUUUAUUCCAAAGAGAAAGAAGCAAACAAGGGAGAAUAACCUCAACGAUGAGGAGGUUUGCUCAUAUUAUCGAUGAGUUAGGAUUGGUGGAUCUUCCACUGCAAGGGGGAGUGUUUACUUGGAGCGAGGGUCUUAACAAUCAGUCAUGGGCUAGACUGGAUAGGUUUCGUGUGUCUCCUAGUUGGUUAGAUCAUUUCAGUGGCGUGCUCCAAAGAAGACUGCCCCGGCCUCUUUCGAAUCAUUUCCCUGUCCUCCUAGAGGGUGGCGGGCUAAGAAGAGGUCCCUCUCCUUUUAGAUUCGAAAACAUGUGGCUUAAGGUUGAGGGCUUUAUAGAUCUUAUCCGAAGUUGGUGGAGGGAGAUUGAGGUCAAAGGCACUGCUAGCUUUAAAUUGGCUGCAAAGAUGAAGGGGAUCAAAUAGAAACUAAAAGCUUGGAAUAGAGAGGUUUUUGGGAAUCUGGAGUGCAAUAAAGUUUCAGCUUUGCAGUAGGUGGAAUUCUGGGACCGGAUGGAAAGUGAGAGAAGACUGUCAUUGGAGGAAACAGAAUUAAAAAAUGAAGCAAAUGAAAUUUAUAAAAAAUGGGUACUCAUGGAAGAAACCCAUUGGAGACAACUCUCAAGGGAGUUAUGGCUAAGGGAAGGGGAUAAAAAUACAGGUUUUUUCCAUCGUAUGGCAAACGCCCAUCAUAGAAAUAACUCCCUAGAUAGAAUUAAAAUUAAUGGGGUGUGGCUUUCAAAGGAGCAGGAAGUGAGGGAAGGGGUUGCUAAUGCCUACCAGCAAAUGAUCUCUGAAGAUUCUGGUUGGAAGGCGGAUAUUGGGAGGCUUCAAUUAGAACAAAUAAGCCAGCAAGAAGCAGAGAAUCUGGAGAUCCCUUUUUCUGAAACUGAGGUCCAUUCGGCUUUGUUGGAGAUGAAUGGGGACAAAGCCCCUAGGCCGGAUGGCUUUACUAUGGCGUUUUGGCAAAGCUGUUGGGAUUUCGUUAAAGAGGAGAUCUUGGAAAUGUGUAAGGAGUUCCAUGAGCAAAGCUCAUUUCUUAAGAGCCUCAAUAAUACUUUCCUGAUUCUGAUUCCUAAGAAAGGUGGGGCUGAGGAUCUUGGGGAUUUUAAACCCAUUAGCCUUUUAGGGGGGGCUGUAUAAACUACUGGCUAAAGUGUUGGCUAACAGACUCAAGAGAGUGUUAGGUAAAGUGGUAGCCCCAACCCAUAAUGCCUUUAUGUUGGGAAGACAAAUUCUUGAUGCUUCUUUAAUUGCAAAUGAGGUGAUAGACUCGUGGCAGAAAAGAAAAAAGAAAGGGCUCAUAUGCAAAUUGGAUAUUGAGAAAGCGUAUGACAGCAUUAACUGACAGUUCUUGUUGAAGGCCUUACAAAAAAUGGGAUUUGGAUCAAAGUGGUUGGGUUGGAUGUGGAGUUGUUUAUCCUGAGCCAAGUUCUCAAUCCUAGUUAAUGGGAUGCCAACUGGCUUUUUCCCAAGUACUAAGGUGCUAUGCCAAGGAGAUCCCCUAUCUCCUUACCUCUUUGUUUUGGGGAUGGAAGUGUUAGAUGCUCUUAUUAGGAGGGUUGUUGCUUGGGGUUUCCUUUUAGGGUGUAGUAUUCGGGGUGGUAGAAGGCCCACCCUGAAAAUAUCCCAUUUAUUCUUUGUCGAUGACACAGUUGUGUUCUGUGAGGCUAAUAAAAGCACCUAACUCACUUAAGCUGGAUAUUAUUCUGGUUUGAAGCUGCUUCAGGUCUAAGGAUUAAUUUGGCCAAAAGUGAAAUCAUCUCAAUUGGUGUGGUGGAGGAGAUUGAUGAGCUAGCAGCAGAGUUAGGGUGUAGGGUGGGUUCUUUGCCUUCUCAGUAUCUAGGUCUGCCUUUAGCGGCUCUUAACAAGGCUCAUUCUGUGUGGCAUGGGGUGGAAGAGAGAAUGAGGAGGAGACUUGCGCUGUGGAAACGACAAUAUAUCUCCAAAUGUGGGAGAAUCACUCUCAUAAAGAGCACUUUGGCUAGCAUGCCAAUUUAUCAUGUCUCUCUUCCAGAUGCCUAAGACCGUUGCUAAAAGGUUAGAAAAAGUACAAAGAGAUUUUCUUUGGGGAGGGGGAAACUUGGAAAGGAAAGCUCAUCUAGUUAAUUGGGAAGUGGUUUGUGCGGACAAGAAUAAGGGUGGGCUAGGCUUAAGGAAGCUAGUGCUCUUGAACAAAGCAUUGCUUGGUAAAUGGAUUUGGAGGUUUGCUUCUGAUAAAGAUAAUCUUUGGAAACAAGUGAUAAUGGCGAAAUAUGGGCAAGAAGGCCAUGGGUGGAGGACAAAGAAGGCUAAUGGGGCAUUUGGAGUAGGGGUUUGGAAGGAAAUUUUGAAGGAAACUGAUUGGUGUUGGGAUAACAUGGUGUUCAUAGCUGGGAAGGGUACCAAAAUCAGUUUCUAGACUGAUGUUUGGUGCACUAGUACAGCGCUGUCCCAAAACUUCCCUCAUCUAUUUGCUCUGGCUUUCCAUAGGAAUGCUACAGUGGAGGAGAUGUGGGAUCAAAAUUUUGGUCAAGGGGGUUGGAAUCUAAGAUUUUUGAAGGAUUUUAAUGAUUGGGAGUUGGAUAUGGUAGGGGAACUUGCUCUAUGUUUUGAGGGGUCACAGGGGCUCUUUGGAGGAAGACUCGGUUUUUUGGAAGGGAGGAAAAAAUGGACAGUUUAGGGUCAAAGAAGUGUACAGCUUGUUAGCCAAUCCCAAUGACAUUGCCUUUCCGUCAAGUUGUAUUUGGGUGGAUAAAGUUCCAACCAAGGUUGCGUUCUUUGCCUGGGAGGUUACGUGAGGGAGGGUGCUUACUCUGGAUAGGCUUCAAAAAAGAGGAUGGCAGCUCCCUAAUUGUUGUUUUUUGUGUGGGUGUGAAGAAGAAACUAUAAAUCAUAUUCUUAUACACUGUAUAGUGGUCAAAGUCCUGUGGAAUAUCGUCUUUGGGUUAUCAAGUGUGCAGUGGGUCUUUCCAAAAACUAUAAAGGAGGUUUUAACUAGUUGGAGGGGACCGUUUGUGGGGAAGAAAAGGAAAAAGAUAUGAAAAUUCAUACCGUUGUGUAUUUUUUAGAUAGUUUGGAAGGAGAGGAAUAGACUAGCUUCUAGCUUCUAGGGGGGGUGUGUUAGAUAUUCAAAAACUUAAGAAUUUUUUUGUUUGUAAUUUGUGGAGUUGGGCUAGAUUGUAUAUUGGAGAGGCGUCUCUAUCCCUUAUAGGUUUCAUGGAGUGGUUAGCUUCCAAUUAAGGUGUGGUGAGGCUCUGUUGGCUUUCUUUUUUGUUUGAGAGGUGUUAGUUGCUUUGUAUACCCCGUAUGCUUUGUGCCUUUUCGCCUCUGUUUUAAUGCAAUUUUGUUUUACUUAUCAAAAAAAAAAAUUAUUAUUAUUAUCGAUAGGAAAAUAAACUUUUGAACUAAAGAGUUAACUUCAAUUUAAAUGCAAUAUUUUAUGAAAUUUAACUUUCUAAGACCUAAUGAACUAGAUAAGUUAUUAAAUCUAUACAGAUUUAGCUUUAAGUAUUUGAUCAGAUUUAGAAUGCUAGUGUUGAAAGCUAAAGAUUUAGAAACUAUCACAUGAGCAAUGAACUUUUGAUUGCAGUUCUAGAACGUGUUAAGUAAGACUUAAUACAUCUUUUUGUUUCGUUAAGACUUCUGAGGAAGUGCCUAUAAAAUUUCAUAAAUCCUGGAGAACAAAAUCCUCUUUUCAGGAUGUUUCGAAGUCCAGGGCUGUUAUCAGCUCAUUUUACAUGAAACACACCUCAGACUUUGACAAAAAUAUCACAUAAUUAAGACCACCAUUUUCUUUUCCAUUUAAAAUGUGUAUCUCGCGCCUGUUCCCUUAACACAGAAACUGAUAGAUCAGCAUCCCGCAAAGUUUAAGUUAACUUUUUUGUAUAGAUGGUCAGUACUAAUUUUGAGAAUAUUACAACCCUAAUCUGACCUCUUUGAGCAUUAAGAUAACAAUUUUUCAGUUUUUUAAUCUUCAAAAAUAGGAAACCAAUAGCGGAAAAAAAAAAAGCUCAAUCCAGGCACUCAAAUAUGAAAUAUUGCUCUUUCAUUUAUCUCACCUGAUAAAGUAAGCUUCCAGUGCUGACAGCCACAAGAUUAUGGGCCACUGUAAAUUCCAGAUCAUAGCUGUAUGGAGAAUGUAAUAACUAACAUAAAUUCAUAGUAGAUAUCAUAAAUGGUCAAAGUUACGAAGUACAAAUCAUUAGGGCAUAAUCAAACAGUUAGUACCAGCAACACUGUGAAGUAUCAUCCAUACAAGGGAACCAACAGCGUGCACGCCUAAUCUGGUUAUCAGUGUGUAGCACAUUAUCCUCAAAAUGAAUCCCUGUCUCUGCCCUCUCCACCCAAUAGUCAACACGAACCAAUUUCACAUUCUGCACCCAACAUCAACCUACAUGAGAAACCAAAAAGAGAAGUGUAAACCUCAUCACAACAAUUCACAUUGUCCAAAUUAUAUUAUUAACCGAAUUGUGUUAGUUUAGGAGAGGAGAAAAAAUAAUAAUGGUUCAACCAAAAAUACAGCAGAUUCAGUGCCCAGGGUAAAAUUUUAAGUUUUGAAGAAGAGACAAAUGUAAUAACAGUACAACCUAUAAUAUCAGCUGUACCCUAUUCUGGUUAAAUGCUAACUAUAAAUAAGAAUAAGAUGAAAGCAAAGCAUGUUUGGAACCAAACUUUUUAUUAUGGAGAUGAAAUAGAGGACACACAAAGGAGCAGUCAUAGAAAAUCCUAACAGACACAACAAAGAUGCAGCAUGAACGCUGGUGUGUAUAUGGAAGGCAAAACACAUUUUUUUAUUAUUUUUUGCCUCCACAAACUAUUCUAAACUCUUUUUCUGGAAAAAGGAUAAGACUGCAAGUCACAUUUGACAAGGCUGCUGCAAUGUUUUGAAGCUGUUCUGCUUUGAAUAUAAAUAUGGAGACAGCAAACUAAUUUCAAUGAGGUUGGUGGAGAAGGUGGGGGUAGUUUGCCUCCAGAUUUUUUAUGCACAGGAGGACAACUGCUGAUCAGAUUUGGCUCUUCUUUUGGGUGCCUCUUUUAAAAGCUUGCUUUAGGAUUAGUACUGUGCUUUUUUUUCCCCUUUUUUGGAUGGGCAAUAAGAAUUUUAUUGAAAAGAACCUAACAAAAAGGGAUGCAUCUUGUGUAUGCAUGAAGUAUACAUCGAGUAUGUAAGGCACCAAUGUCUUAAUCCCUGCCUAAAAUGAUUCAAACACAUUAGAUCAAAAAAGCAAAAGAUAUCCAAAAAGAAUUUCAGUGUCACUUCCGAGUUCACCACACCCUCAAGAUGUCCAUGUCAGUCUAAAAACUACCUCCUGAUUAAGGGAGGUGACACACAUGACACUCAAAAAUAAGAGAGCACCAAGAAUCAUAAGGCCCAUGCCACCUUACAAUGUAUGAAAGUAUAGCUAGCUAAUUCCUCAUCUUGAUUGCAAAGGAACGCCAAGUCACAAAAAUCUGAUCCCAUCCUUAAGUUGAUCCUAAGUAAGAAUUUUCUCACAAGCAAUAAAAUUGACUCUAGAUGGCAACCAAGGAACCUAAACCCCCUUGGCAGGAAAAGAGACUUGCUCCCUCAAAUUCAAAAGGCUAUAAAGAGGUUGAAACAAACAAAAACAAAAAAAAGAAAUGUUGUUUCUACUGACACCCAUCCAAGCUAUUAGUACAACCACCACAAACUAAAUGCUCUAAAAAAAAAAAGCUUGCAACAUUUGCAAAGCCCAAUCUAGAAAUUGCUCCAAAAAUUAGGGGUCAACUACCUUGAUCACAGUCCCCCGCUACCAAAAAUCAUCUACCCAGCUACCUAACCAUAAAAAAUAAUCAAAUAAUAAAAUAGAAAAAAGUAAUACCAAAUAAAUGGAAACGAUUCCUCCAUUAGGUAAACCUUAUAUCAAGUGUCAAACUAAAACAUCAUCUCAAGAUCUAUAUUAACAACAAUAACACUUGUACAAGCUUGAAAAGCUUCCCAGCCUUUUCAACUGGCUUUACAGUGACCAACCCCAUACCCUCUCUGGCUUCCUUAAGAUUUGAAUCCUUGCAACUAUCCAAAUUUGCUUUGGAUAACCUUUUUCUAUAAAAAUAUCUUUCCUUGCAUUUUUUUGAAACCAUUUGCCUAGUAAAGUCAUUC